rnacentral:rRNA from 1 species
AUACGUAGGUGGCAAGCGUUGUCCGGAAUUAUUGGGCGUAAAGCGCGCGCAGGCGGUUCCUUAAGUCUGAUGUGAAAGCCCACGGCUCAACCGUGGAGGGUCAUUGGAAACUGGGGGACUUGAGUGCAGAAGAGGAGAGCGGAAUUCCACGUGUAGCGGUGAAAUGCGUAGAGAUGUGGAGGAACACCAGUGGCGAAGGCGGCUCUCUGGUCUGUAACUGACGCUGAGGCGCGAAAGCGUGGGGAGCAAACAGGAUUAGAUACCCUGGUAGUCCACGCCGUAAACGAUGAGUGCUAAGUGUUAGAGGGUAUCCACCCUUUAGUGCUGUAGCUAACGCAUUAAGCACUCCGCCUGGGGAGUACGCUCGCAAGAGUGAA